rnacentral:rRNA from 1 species
AACGAACGCUGGCGGCAGGCCUAACACAUGCAAGUCGAACGAUACAGUGGCAGACGGGUGAGUAACGCGUGGGAACGUACCUUUCACUACGGAAUAGCUCCGGGAAACUGGUGGUAAUACCGUAUACGCCCUCAGGGGGAAAGAUUUAUCGGUGAAAGAUCGGCCCGCGUUGGAUUAGCUAGUUGGUGAGGUAAUGGCUCACAAAGGCGACGAUCCAUAGCUGGUCUGAGAGGAUGAUCAGCCACAUUGGGACUGAGACACGGCCCAAACUCCUACGGGAGGCAGCAGUGGGGAAUCUUGCACAAUGGGCGAAAGCCUGAUGCAGCCAUGCCGCGUGAAUGAUGAAGGCCUUAGGGUUGUAAAAUUCUUUCGUCAGGGAUGAUAAUGACCGUAC